UGCUCUUAUGUGUGAAUGCUCCUUACAAGCAAAUAAUUGUGCAGUUAGACAGGAGAAAGCAACUCAUUGUAAGAUAGCAUAUGAUGAGAUUGAUGCUACAUUUCAAAUUCGUCCAUCGUAGGUCUCACAAACUGGGAGUGAUCCUGACGUGCUCUAUGCCACCGUUGUUCAUGCGGCCAGGAAGGACCAGACACCCAAAGACAGUGUGACAUACAGUACUGUGAAUAAAAGGGAUGGUGCGAAGCAAAUGACUGAACCAGAAGAUGGAGUUGUGAUCUACAGCACAGUGAGUCAACACUCAGAUAGAAUGAAAAAGUUCUAAUGAGAAGAAAAGCUGGGAGGACAAUAAUCCUGCAAGUAUGGCAACAUUGAUGAGGUCAUUCUGAUGUGUCCAGCAUUUUAUUAGUUGUAUCUCAGUUCACUUUGAUAAAUCAGUCCUGCAGGCACAGGCAUAUUUCAUGAUAAAGAUGUGAUGUGGUGACUUUGUCUGUAUGUCAUGUUGAGCAAGAGAAAGAGUUGGACCAGAAGCAGUGUGGACCACAGGCCUCUAAAAUUGACCAAAUGAAGGAAUUGACCUUGUGGCCAACUUACUCCAUUGUGAAACUUCUCCAAAAAUGUAAAGAAGAAUUUUGAAGUGGCUUGAAGAAGUCUGUCUUAAAACAAUAGUCAGUUGUCAGGAGCUUUAAUCAUUCCUCCUGUUUAUACUGGCUGUAAA